GAACGAGGGAUUCGUGAUGAUUCACGAGUCCCUUUUGUUUUGUGGAGGUAUAUGAUGAAGAAAAAACUCGCGGUAAUUCUGUUUGGGCUGAUUUCCCUUGGCAUCGGAUUGCUGCUGCUGCAUCUCUCCCCCGACCCGAUGGCUGAGAACCUGGAGCUGGCACGGGAAGCCUCGAAUGCUCAGGAAGCGGCGGCGGCGAUUUCCGCCAAUAACAAAAAGGAUGUUGUUUACAGCACGGUCGCUUAUCUCUUUGUCGGCAUUGGAUUCGGCACAGCGGGCUACGGUGUUUUUAUGAGUGGAAAAAAGGAAGAUUCUGAGGAAAAAUCCUAAAAUAUCCUUGUAUCGUCAGUAUACUUUGACUAUAAUAUGUGCCAGCUAUCUUUUUCAAUGCAGUGAAAGAAAUCCAUGAUUUCUUCGGGAGGUACUUUCAUGA
rnacentral:rRNA from 1 species